AUGGGCGAAAGCCUGACGCAGCGACGCCGCGUGGGGGAUGAAGCUUCUCGGAGUGUAAACCCCUUUCGACCCGGACGAAACACCCGCAAGGGUUUGACGGUACGGGUAUAAGAAGCCCCGGCUAACUACGUGCCAGCAGCCGCGGUAAGACGUAGGGGGCCAGCGUUGCUCGGAAUUACUGGGCGUAAAGGGUUCGUAGGCGGUGUGGUAAGUCGGAAGUGAAAUCUCUGGGCUUAACUCAGAGGCUGCCUUCGAAACUGCCGCGCUAGAGUGCGGGAGAGGCGAGUGGAAUUACAGGUGUAGCGGUGAAAUGCGUAGAUAUCUGUAGGAACACCCGUGGCGAAGGCGGCUCGCUGGACCGCAACUGACGCUGAGGAACGAAAGCUAGGGGAGCAAACAGGAUUAGAUACCCUGGUAGUCCUAGCCCUAAACCAUCAGGACUUGGGGUGGCCCGCGUUGGCGGGUCGUCCCGGAGCUAACGCGUUAAGUCCUGCGCCUGGGGAGUACG
rnacentral:rRNA from 1 species